AGAUGCUGAGCGCUGAAAUUCUCAUCCGCCACACACAACAUGGCGGCUUCCUGGACCCGCGCCCAAUUUUCGCUUCCGGGAUGGAAGCUACGUCAUUUCCCCCUCUGUUGCCCUAGCGCCCCUUGGAAGCCAAGAAUAUGAGGAAGUCUUCUUCCUUCGCGCCUUCUUCUUCCUUACGCUCCAGGGCAGCCUGACAGAGCCGCUCGAAGGCUCUGCUGGCCGCGGCUAGCCGAUUUUCCCCUUCGCCAAUCAGCAGUUGCAAAAAGUCCUCCAGGAAAAGUCUGGAUGCCAGAAAGCCGUACCUGAGGGAGGCAGAAUUGCAUGGCAGUGGGCUACAUGGGCUCCAGAGUUGGCCAAUGUGUGGCCUCUAACAAGUAUCUUGCCUCCUCUAUGCCUCAGUUUCCUUCUCUGUAAAGUGUGGGUGAUGAUGUUUACUUUUUAGUUGUCAUGAAGGUGAGGGAUGAUGAUGCUUAGCACAGUGUCUGACACUUUACAGCAAGCGCCACGAUCCACUGUUGUCAUCGGGACUUUUGUCAUCCUCAGUGCUGCCACACGUUUGCCCUGGGUCCUUGAGCAAAUUGGCUCUUUUCUGUGGCCCCCUUGUU
rnacentral:lncRNA from 10 species